rnacentral:SRP_RNA from 1 species
UGCCAGGGUCUGCGGAGUGCGAACUUACGAACCCCGCCAGGGCAGGAAUGCAGCAACGGCAGUUUGCUUUGUAUUUGUCGCAGUAACCCUGGUUUUU